rnacentral:rRNA from 1 species
CAAUAGCGUAUAUUAAAGUUGUUGCGGUUAAAAAGCUCGUAGUUGGAUUUCUGCUGAGAACGACCGGUCCGCCCUCUGGGUGUGUAUCUGGCUCUUUCUUGGCAUCUUCUUGGUGAACGUUGCUGCACUUGACUGUGUGGAGCGCUACCCAGGACUUUUACUUUGAGGAAAUUAGAGUGUUUCAAGCAGGCAUACGCCUUGAAUACAUUAGCAUGGAAUAAUAAGAUAGGACCUCGGUUCUAUUUUGUUGGUUUCUAGAGCUGAGGUAAUGAUUAAUAGGGAUAGUUGGGGGCAUUCGUAUUUAACUGUCAGAGGUGAAAUUCUUGGAUUUGUUCAAGACGAACCAAUGCGAAAGCAUCUGCCCAGGAUGUUUUCAUUAA